GAAUCGGUGGUGUAAUGGCGUAGAGCACCCCCGCGCGGUCUGCAGGAGAUGCGGGUUCGAGUCCCGCCUGGUACU
rnacentral:tRNA from 1 species